AUUCCUGGCUGGCAGCUGUGGUGCAUCCUGGACAGUCAGGGGAUGAAAUGACUGUGUAACAUGCAGGGUGUUUACUAAAGGCUAGACAGAUGAGAUAAUGGUGGUGAUACCCAUGCUAACAAUACCGCAUUGAUAUCUUCACUGCUAUUGCAGGGCACAGCAGUUCAGGCACUGGCCUCCUGGAUUACUGUCCUGAUGGGCAGACUCUACAAAAGGUCUAAGGACAGAAGCCACCACGGUAAAGGCCACUCGGCAGCCUGCCAGGGAGGUGGAUGCCACUGUGGAGCAGUGUACUGGAGCAGCUGACCUUGCUUCGGGUGAGUGGUAUGGGCUCACCACACACACUGGCCUGGCUGAGAGUCCUCCCUACUGGGUGAGCUGCUCUGCAAAACCAGCUGAAAUGGAUGCUGGAGCUGUUUUGUCAGAAGGCAUCAGACAAGAGGCACCUACUGAUGAAAAAUGUGGUGUAGGAUGUAAAAUCUGAAUCCUGGCUGUUGGAGUCACAGAAGACGCUCCAGCUAUGCAAGUUGUAGAUUGGCUGUACUCCCAGCUGGGGAGGUCUGUAGCACCUGACUGAAGAAAUUCUGCAUUUCCAGACUUGUUCUUACUUUUCAUACAUCUUGGAAGAAACACCUAUAUAUAAAAAGGUACAUUUCCCUCUCUAACUUAAAACAAAACCAACCAGAAACAGACACAAAGUGGCUUCUGGCCAGGAUUUUCUUCAAAACAUCUGCUCCGCAGCUCAGUCAGGCUCUGUGCCCUGUGAAACCAGAUUUUAAUGAAGAAAGAAAGGAAGAGGAAGCAAAAUCACCUGUGGCUUUGCUUCUGAAGAACUGGAUGGUUACAUUAGGCUUGGUUUAGCCUGGCUUUGAGCACAGGUGCUAACUAAAGAAAAUGUGUUGUUUUUCUAAUCCGCAGCCUAUAGAGGAAUGCAUGGUCUGAUAGGAAGGAGUCUAUUGCAAGCAAGUCAAUGCAGUAUAAAAUUCCUUUUAAGUUGAUGCAUUUUGAAUUUAUAUAGUAUGCAGAUAAAUGUGUUACUGGUUAUUGCUGUUCCUACAGAUACAGCUGACUCAAAUCGUAACCAAUGUGAAUUUGAAAAUGUCACGAAUUUGCCCAUUUAAGAUAUUAACUGCCAAACAUUUCAGAAAUUACUCUAAGUUUCACUAAAUCUUAGCACUAAAUCCUUUUAUAUAACCUAAAGAACAGAUCUCUUUUUGUUUUUAAAAUGUACUCACUCUUGUCUGCUUGACUACCAGCUGCUGCUAUCUGCCUGCUGUGGUUGGUAACUGUAAAUGUGGGGGGCCAUUUUGAAACCAAAAGAGAUUAAAGACAAGAAGAGGAAGUCCAGCAACCUGAAGAUGCUAUCAUCAAUCCACAGCUGGCCGGGAACAGGAAGCAAGCGGAGAUGACAUCCAUAACAUACAGCCUCUAUGGCAGAAAGACAAACAAAAAUGAAAGGCUGUAGGAAUGGUAGAGAUUAUUCCUCUAUGGGCAUGGCUAUUGCUUUAGGCUGGUCAUCUGUGAAUGACAAGCACACACUUAGAGUGUGGGCUCUCUCCCAGUGCAGACAAGGCACAGUUUGUCUUACAGCAUAAAUGCUUCUAAAAUGGUUUAGAAAGGGAGCAGGGCGAAGCGCAGAAUGAAGAAUAAUGAUCUGCAAGGAAACUUGAGGAUCAGACUUCAUUCCCAUGAAUGUCAGAGCUUUGUAUUGACCACAGUGGAAGGGUAUUCAGGUCCUGAAUGGUUUCAUCACCAGUUUAAUUAUAGCAGAUGAAAUGCAAAACAAGACACGGCUUCUCGUACACAGCUUGCAGAGAAACAACAUUAUCAUCACCUCAGGAGCCUGCAUGCAAUGGAAAAGCUGCCAUUAAGAGAAAGGCCAUUUCAGGCCAAACAUGAAAAAGCCAGAUGUGGGAAGUCACAACAGCAGUCCUUGAGAACAAGCCUGGAAAGGCGGGUAUGCUGGAUAUACUGAACCACAAGAGCAGCAGUUUCAGCAGAGCUGCUUUGCUCCCUCCCAGCACUGGGUCCUAGGUGAGGCCUCUGCUUAGGAUUCACAGGAGCACUUUCGCUGGUGGGUUGUGUCCACUCAGGGUGGCAGACGCAUGUGCUUUGGCUGUGGCAUCCCCUGCACCUGGACCACAGCGCAGUGGCAGUUAGCAGUAUGCCACACCAUCUCUGCUGCAGCUGCUUGGAGAAAAAGGACCUACAAAGAAUCUACAACAUUUUUCAACUCAUUGUGACCCCUGAAGGCCAGUGUAAAUGAGAAGAACUCUCAAGCCUGGGAGGAGCAGAGAAUUCAGACUAGUGCCAGGCACAGGACAGGGAAAGGAAAGCAUUACGCCCUGACUUGCCGCCUGUGGAGUUCAGCCAGCUCCAAGGAUCUGACCCACAGCUCAUUAAACAUUUCACAGUGCAGUCCGAAUCUCUUUUUAUGUUUUGGUAAUGCCGUGAAGUAAAUUGUACCUGUAAUACAUUUGCAUGUGUAGCUUGCAUCAGGUUGGAUUAAGGUAUAGAAAGCUUCUUAAGCACAAAAGUGCCCAUUGUAAGAGUGCUGUCAUUAAUGACACUGUACUCAUUUAGAGCAGAGUUCAGCCACAGCCUACCUAGCGUCACUGUAGAGAAAUCAAAGUGGGCACAUUCAGCCUAAGCGCUAAUACUCAAUAUCUGCACCAGUGAGGUAAUUAUGAUAAUCCCUUAAUUACUGGCACCGGGAGAGUUUGAGGAAAACCUGCCUGGCAAACAAGCUCACCCUUUAAAAACAAAAGUUCACAGGCCUGAGAAAAGUUGAAAAUAUUCAAGUGAAUGGUUAUAUCAUCACAAGUAAAAGAUAAUCAAAAUGGGAGACAAGUGAGAAGAAAAAGUAGAAUCCACAUUUUUACAGAUGACUUUCUCAUCUUUGCUGCUUGCUUCCCAUAGCCCUUUCUGGCAAAAAACACAGGAUCCAUUUCCUAGACUUCAUUGAAGUCUCCCAGUACCCCAGCUCUUCUUCACCUGCAGCACCACACCUCCUAGCAGAGCAAGAACAUAGGGGUGAUGCACUAAAACUUGUGCUAGCUGAAUCUCAGCCCCUUGCUGUAACCACUAGCUCCUAGUGGUUUCUGCACAGCAAACUCACAGCAGGCAGCAGGCACUGUGCUGUCCCGACUGGCACUAGGUGCUAACAGGAAGCCCACAAAGACUAGAUAAAAACUGAAAGGAAACAACAGCACCAGAUGCAAUGAAUUUCACUGAGGACUAGCCUGUGCCUGACCAGCCUGCCCCUAGUGAGGGGCUGUGCUUGGCUCUGCUGCCUCAAAAGCAAAGUGGGGAGACUGCGGACUGUGAGUCACCGCUUGUUUCCUGUUCUCUUCCCUAUCUGUGAUGGAGCAACUUGUGCUGGCUAUGCCAGCUACCCUCGCCGUGGCACUCAGUGUCUCAGCCUGGCACCCCUGCUCUGGGCUGCAAAGGGGAAGGGAGUCGCGUGGUGCUGGGGUACCGCCCUGUCAUAGUGUGGGGGAGCUGCUCUGUGAGACUCCUGUCACCCCUGCUUGGCUUGGGGAAGUCAGGGGUGCCCCGGGUGUCACGUACAGCAAGCGGUGACGCUGACCUGGAAGCACAUGAGUCGCAGCCCCAGCAAACUCCCAGGAACUGGCUUGGUCAGAGGAGAGGAAGGGUCUCAGAUCCAUCCUCAAGACAUGAAUCUGCCAUGAAAGAUUUUUAAAAUGAGGAUUCUCCAACAAUUUUGUGUCUCAGGACACUGGGGUGCUUUGCUUGCAUUAAAGUUCCCCUCUUUGAUUCACAAAACAGAUGGCUGCAGACUUUAACUCCAAGAGGACUUGGGUCUGUGUUCUCUUCAUCAGAGCUCUAAAUGUGACAAUGGAGAACAUACCAUGCUGAACUGCAUGGAAAACGAAUGCUUGUCUCAGGCUCUGUGAAUAGUGCAUUCAGGACUGCUUAAUAAUAACAAAUCACAAAUAUAGCAUAGCACACACUGUACUCAAACUACAAACCACUGAAAAAUUACUAAUACAGAUUUGUUAAAAUAGAAUAAAAUAGGUCAAGCAAAGCACCAAACAAACUGCCAUACCAAUCUUUCCUCGACAGGAUGGCACUCAUCCUUCAUUUUCACAGUCUUUGUCUCUUUUCAGUUGCAUGUACAACUUUUAUCCUGGUUAGUAUUAACUCACCCAAAAAUUCACAGGCAGUUUUGCCCUUUGUUUAAUCGCAAGAGGCAUAGGCAAGACUGCAUUGGGGUCCAGGCAUGUGUUUGAUUGGUUAGCUGAGAAUUACACUACACUAAUUGGGACACCUGUGCAGUAAUACCAAGCAGUAUGAUAAAGUUUUAAGGGAAUAUGAGUUUUACAAAGCAAAACCUAAAUAUAUACCACUACCACCAUGGUACAUACCAUCAGUACAGAUUUCCCACUUCAAAUGCCCAGACCAGUUAUAGUAUCCACAGAGUUUGUUUCUCAGAGAGGAGGUACUGGGGGAGAGAGAAAUAACUGGUAGAAACUUCUUGUAGUAAUUAAACCAAAAGCUGAGUCUGGCAUCCUUUGUGACUUACGCUCUGAAGAGCAGAGUUGCAUGCAACAUUUUGCUGCAAAUUGCCUUGUUCUGUGAUUGUAAAAAUGAAAAUAAACACUUGAAGAAUU